rnacentral:lncRNA from 1 species
AAGGAUGAGGGAACUUUCUUUGAUGCAAUUUCUCCAUUUGUUCCCGAUAUAAAAGCAUGCGGAUUAUAUAGUUUACGAUCUUGUGGUGCUAUUACCGCUGCAAGGUUUGGUUUUUCAGAUAGACUUUUUAAACGUCAUGGACGUUGGAAGUCGGACACUUCAAAGGAUGGCUAUGUGAAAGACGAUUUAUCAGAACGUAGGAUUGUUUCUCAGAAUUUGGGAAAUGAAUAUCUUUUUUGUUUUAUUUACAUUUUGGACUAUAUAAUUUUCCAUACAUAGUAAUAAAUAGCUUCCCGUUCUUUGGGUUCAGCAUCGGCG